UGAGGAAUAUUGGGCAAUGCCCGCAAGGGUGACCCAGCAACGCCGCGUGGAGGAUGAAUGUCGUAAGAUUGUAAACUCCUGUUAGAGGGGAAGAAUAGUACCGGUUGGACCGGUAUAUGACUGUACCCUCAGAGAAAGCCCCGGCUAACUACGUGCCAGCAGCCGCGGUAAUACGUAGGGGGCAAGCGUUGUCCGGAUUUACUGGGCGUAAAGGAUGCGUAGGCGGAUACUUAAGUCAGAUGUGAAAAUCCCGGGCUUAACUUGGGAACUGCAUUUGAAACUGGGUAUCUAGAGUGCGGGAGAGGAAAGUGGAAUUCCUAGUGUAGCGGUGAAAUGCGUAGAGAUUAGGAAGAACACCAGUGGCGAAGGCGACUUUCUGGACCGUAACUGACGCUGAGGCAUGAAAGCGUGGGGAGCAAACA
rnacentral:rRNA from 1 species